rnacentral:rRNA from 1 species
AGUGAACGCUGGCGGUAGGCCUAACACAUGCAAGUCGAACGGCAGCACAGUAAGAGCUUGCUCUUACGGGUGGCGAGUGGCGGACGGGUGAGGAAUACAUCGGAAUCUACUUUUUCGUGGGGGAUAACGUAGGGAAACUUACGCUAAUACCGCAUACGACCUACGGGUGAAAGCAGGGGAUCUUCGGACCUUGCGCGAUUGAAUGAGCCGAUGUCGGAUUAGCUAGUUGGCGGGGUAAAGGCCCACCAAGGCGACGAUCCGUAGCUGGUCUGAGAGGAUGAUCAGCCACACUGGAACUGAGACACGGUCCAGACUCCUACGGGAGGCAGCAGUUGGGAAUAUUGGACAAUGGGCGCAAGCCUGAUCCAGCCAUACCGCGUUGGUGAAGAAGGCCUUCGGGUUGUAAAGCCCUUUUGUUGGGAAAGAAAAGCAGCAGGUUAAUACCCCGCUGUUCUGACGGUACCCAAAGAAUAAGCACCGGCUAACUUCGUG